AACGAACGCUGGCGGCAUGCCUAACACAUGCAAGUCGAACGAUGCUUUCGGGCAUAGUGGCGCACGGGUGCGUAACGCGUGGGAAUCUGCCCUUGGGUUCGGAAUAACAGAGGGAAAUUGCUGCUAAUACCGGAUGAUGUCUUCGGACGAAAGAUUUAUCGCCCAGGGAUGAGCCCGCGUAGGAUUAGCUAGUUGGUGGGGUAAUGGCCUACCAAGGCGACGAUCCUUAGCUGGUCUGAGAGGAUGAUCAGCCACACUGGGACUGAGACACGGCCCAGACUCCUACGGGAGGCAGCAGUGGGGAAUAUUGGACAAUGGGCGCAAGCCUGAUCCAGCCAUGCCGCGUGAGUGAUGAAGGCCUUAGGGUUGUAAAGCUCUUUUACCCGGGAUGAUAAUGACAGUACCGGGAGAAUAAGCUCCGGCUAACUCCGUG
rnacentral:rRNA from 1 species